rnacentral:tRNA from 1 species
GCUGGUAUAGCUUAGUGGUAGAGCAUGUACUUAGCAUGCAUGAGGUACUGGGUUCAAUCCUCAGUACCUCCA